GCCUCAGUGGUGCAAUGGUAAAGCACGCGAUCCCCGGAUAGGAUGAAACGCGGGUUCGAUUCUCGCCUGCGGUC